rnacentral:rRNA from 1 species
UACGAAGGGGGCUAGCGUUGCUCGGAAUCACUGGGCGUAAAGCGCACGUAGGCGGAUCUCUAAGUCAGGGGUGAAAUCCUGGAGCUCAACUCCAGAACUGCCUUCGAUACUGGGAGUCUCGAGUUCGGGAGAGGUGAGUGGAACUGCGAGUGUAGAGGUGAAAUUCGUAGAUAUUCGCAAGAACACCAGUGGCGAAGGCGGCUCACUGGCCCGAUACUGACGCUGAGGUGCGAAAGCGUGGGGAGCAAACAGG